GGGGCAUUAGCGCAGUUGGUAGCGCACAACACUGGCAGUGUUGGGGUCAGCGGUUCGAAUCCGCUAUGCUCCA
rnacentral:tRNA from 1 species